UUGGUAUUUCUGUCGCGCAGCGAGGGACCGGUCUCAAGCUUGAGAGACCGGUUCCCGAACGUUGUGAUUUUGGUCACGCAGCGAGGGACCGGUUCCUCACUUGAGAGACCGGUCUCUCACAGACCGGUCUCCUCGAGAGGACCGGUCUCUGAGGACGACACAGGUUUUUAAAAAGGACUUUUUGCAAUCCUAGUCUACUUCUAAGUCUUCUAAACAUAUAAAUAAGCUAUGUGGGUCAUCUAAAAGUUUAAGGCUUCGAAUAUUUACUGAUUCCAAACUCUAGAAACUUGUUUUUCCGUUUCAAUGCUUCUAUUCACAUAACGAGUUUCUAACAAUCAACAAUCGGCUUGAUUCUUCGUUUUUACUCGAGAACUCAUACGAGAAUCAAGUAGAUGUUUGAUUAAAGGU
rnacentral:lncRNA from 1 species